AGUCACUCCAUCCCCCUGAACCGGCGCCUCCGUCUGUAACGUGCGAAUCACAAGCCCUGGCUACCAGCUGGGGCGGUUUUGAGGCUCGGUGGCUGGACCCCCGAAGGGUACCUGGAGCGGAGGGCGGUUCCCCAGGGACCACCCCGGCCUCGGUGAGGGAGAGGGGUCUUCCUCGCAUAGCAUUGUUACAGAUUUUGGGGAGGAGCUCUCACCUGUAUAUUUUUAAAACUCCAGAACAUUAUGAAGUCGUUGCAAAACUUUUGUUUAACACAAACGAGACGUCAAGGGCUUCCAUGAGGCCCACGUUAAGCAGCUGUUCCUGGGAUGCUCACGCUACUGCUGGAGACGGCUCUGGGAAGCUUUCGAGAAUGGUGACUAGCAUGCAGGUACCCGUUCUCUGACUUGCUGCCCCUCUUCUGACAUGGCCCACCGCGGUGGGGAGAGGGACUUCCAGACGUCAGCGCGGCGCAUGGGCACCUCGCUGCUCUUCCAGCUUUCGGUGCAUGAGCGGGAGCUGGACCUGGUGUUUCUGGAUCAUAGCUAUGCCAAGCCGUGGAGUGCCCACCCAGAUGCCAGUAGUGCCCGCCCCACCCGCAUGCUCUUUGUUACUCCCCGGAGGCAGCACGAAAGUACCAUCGAGUCAGAUGUCCCAAUAGAUGUGGAGACAGUCACGUCAACCCCUGUGCCACUUUAUGACAAUCAGAAGGCACGCAGCGUGAUGAAUGAGUGUGAACGGCAUGUCAUUUUCGCCAGGACCGACGCGGAUGCACCUCCCCCUCCGGAGGACUGGGAGGAGCACGUCAACAGGACUGGCUGGACAAUGGCCCAGAACAAGCUAUUCAACAAGAUCCUCAAAGCCCUGCAGUCUGAUCGGCUUGCCCGCUUGGCCAACGAAGGGGCUUGUAACGAGCCAGUGCUGCGCCGUGUUGCCGUGGACAAGUGUGCGAGGAGAGUGCGGCAAGCUCUGGCGAGUGUGAGCUGGGACACCAAGCUGGUCCAGUGGCUGCACACCACCCUGGUGGAGACCUUGAGUCUGCCCAUGCUGGCCGCCUACCUGGAUGCUUUGCAGACACUGAAAGGGAAGAUCCCUACCUUGAUUGACCGGAUGCUCAUGUCGUCCAACACGAAGACCGGGGCUGCUGGAGCUGAGGCCUUGUCCCUCCUACUGAAGAGGCCCUGGGACCCCGCUGUGGGAGUGCUCUCUCAUAACAAACCAAGCAAACUCCCCGGCUCUCCUCUCAUUCUCAUUGCCUCUUCCGGGCCCUCCAGCUCCGUGUUCCCCACCUCGCGCCGCCACCGCUUCUGGCAGUCUCAGCUGUCCUGCUUAGGCAAGGUCAUCCCUGUUGCCACGCAUCUGCUGAACAAUGGUAGUGGAGUAGGAGUUCUGCAGUGUCUGGAGCACAUGAUUGGGGCAGUGCGAAGCAAAGUGCUAGAGAUUCACAGCCAUUUCCCGCACAAACCCAUUAUCUUGAUUGGCUGGAAUACAGGAGCCUUGGUGGCCUGUCACGUGUCGGUGAUGGAAUAUGUCACUGCAGUUGUCUGCCUUGGGUUUCCUCUGCUUACCGUGGAUGGCCCCAGAGGGGAUGUGGAUGAUCCCCUCUUGGAUAUGAAGACUCCAGUCCUCUUUGUCAUUGGUCAGAAUUCCCUGCAGUGUCACCCUGAAGCCAUGGAAGACUUCCGGGAGAAGAUUCGGGCUGAGAACAGCUUGGUGGUGGUUGGGGGAGCUGAUGAUAAUCUCAGAAUAAGCAAAGCAAAGAAGAAAUCGGAAGGGUUGACUCAGAGCAUGGUGGACAGAUGUAUUCAGGAUGAGAUUGUGGACUUCCUGACUGGAGUGCUCACUCGCGCGGAGGGGCACGUGGGCUCGGAGCCUCGGGAUCAAGAUGCUGAGAAGAAGAAGAAGCCCCGGGACGUGGCCCGCAGAGACCUGGCCUUUGAGGUCUCUGAGCGGGGCAGUCGACCUGCGUCACCAGCUGCCAAGCUACCUGCCUCACCCUCAGGCUCGGAGGAUCUCUCCAGUGUGUCCAGCAGCCCCACCUCCAGUCCCAAGACCAAGGUGGCCACAGUGGCCUCUGCCCAGAAGUCCAGUCAGAUCGGAAGCACUCAGCUGCUGAAGAGACACGUGCAGCGGACAGAGGCUGUGCUGACCCACAAACAGGCUCAAGCGCAGUUUGCUGCUUUUCUGACACAAAACAUGCUGGUGAGGAAAGCUCUUCCUCCCGGCGCCUCCUCCUGUCUCUUUGUUCCUGUUUCAUCAGAACAAACGGAGGAAGCCGAGAAAGAGGAUCUCAGGGUCCAGCUGAAGCGGCACCAUCCCUCCAGUCCUCUUCCUGGCAGUAAGACCUCCAAGCGACCGAAGAUCAAGGUGUCCCUUAUCUCCCAAGGGGACACAGCUGGAGGGCCUUGUACUCCUUCCCAAGGAGGAGCUCCAGAAGCCGCAGGAGGGAAGCCCAUCACCAUGACACUGGGGCAAGCUUCCACAGGGGCCAAGGAGCUCACAGGGCUUCUCACCACAACCAAGUCAAGUGCUGCUGAAGGGGGAGCCUCAGCCAGCCCAGCGUCCUCAGUGGUCUCUAGCAGCACUGCUCCCAGUGCCUUGCACACACUCCAGAGCCGCCUGGUGGCCACCUCUCCUGGCAGCUCCCUCCCAGGGGCCGCAUCAGCCAGCAGCCUCCUCCAAGGCCUCAGCUUCAGCUUGCAGGAUAUCAGCAGCAAGACCUCUGGCCUCCCAGCAAACCCCUCUCCCGGGCCAGCCCCACAGGCCACCAGUGUGAAGUUGCCCACCCCCAUGCAGAGCCUGGGUGCCAUCACCACGGGCACCAGCACCAUUGUCCGUACCAUUCCUGUGGCCACCACUCUCUCCUCCUUGGGUGCCACUCCUGGUGGGAAGCCCACAGCCAUCCACCAGCUGCUGACCAAUGGGGGCCUCGCCAAGUUGGCAAGCAGCCUCCCUGGCCUGGCUCAGAUCUCUAACCAAGCCUCAGGCUUGAAGGUCCCCACCACCAUCACUCUGACACUACGUGGCCAGCCCAGCCGAAUCACCACACUGAGCCCCAUGGGCUCAGGAGCAGCGCAAUCAGAAGAGCCCACCUCCCAGGCGCUGCCCUCCAGCUCACAGGUGAGGAAAUGGAGGCCCAGUGAACCCUAUUCGUCUGGUGUCACCAGCAUGGCAGCUACGGUUUUGGUCUACCUGGCAGACACACUUCCUGUGAGGUAACACAGGUGCCCCCAGUAGGAACCUCCUGUGCCCCACACCCUUGUGUCGCAGGCAGCUGGGGGUGAAGCGGGGGGCUCACCAGGAAGAUUCAGCAGCAGCCUGGCAAGUCUGCAUCCACCACCAGGGCAGACCAGCGCUUCCUGCUCACACCCUCAGCCCCCAGGGGUGCUGCAGGGCGCCCUGUGGCUUAGCUCAGAGCAUUGGAGUCACGCCUGAGUGCACAGCUCUGCUCCCCCACUUACCUGCUGGGGAACCUGGGCAAGUCCCCAGCCCUCUCUGCGCCUCAGGCCCCCAUCUGUACCAUGAGGUAGGCAAAAGGCAGCUGUCCUGGGGCGCAACUAGCCAAGCGGAUUGAAGGCACAGGACGAAGGGCACAGCCUGCUGAGGUAUGUGCGGGAGGCUGGGUUUGGCUCUGGGUCCACCCUUCACUGGGGUGAUGGCAUCCCAGGCCUGAGCAGGUGCUGGGCAGGUCCCUCUCCCUGGCUCCCCUGUGUCAGCCUGUGGGAGGCACCACCCGCAAGGAUGCCCCCACCUUGCCCUUGCAAAGGUCCACGCCACACACCUCAGGGCUGCGUGGAUUCACAGGUGUUUUAUUGGCUUUUCCGUAGGCAGCCCGGAUGCCUCACGCUGCUAACCGGCCCCUCGACCCCUCACCCCACUCCUGGCCUCUGUUCUGGGGCCCCGGCUGGGAGCUGUCAGCCUUAACUCUUCUCCCAAGGCCUUGCAACCACUGGGUCCCCAGCCCCUGGGCUCGGGCUGCCUCCUCGAGAGAUAAACCCACUUUUCUCACUGCCUCUCUUUGGGCCAGGCUCCCAAGCCGAGGGCGCAUCCCUGCGUCAGGCACGGCCGAGUUCUCCCGAGGAGUGGGCUCCACCCCAGAGCCCUUUGGCGGUGCCUACCCAUCCCAGGCUGAGUCAGACCCUGUGCACAGUGUUGCGGGCUCAGUCCUACAGCUUGGUGUUGAGGUGGAAGGAGAAGUGGGGCACUGCAUAGGUUGUGGCAGGUGGCACGUGCCACGCAGACGAGGCUGGGCAAAGUCUGUGACGCAGGGCACUGUCAAAGGAUGCGGGGGGGAAGUGCAUCAGGCCAGCGGCCAUGGGUGAGGGUGCUGCAGUGGCCAGGAGGUGGGCUGGGAAGGCCGGGAUGACCAGGGGGCUGAAGGGGAGUGUGGCCUGGCCCUUUAAGGGGUCCAGGGUGCCGGCGAAGUUCAGCGGGCAGCGCAGCAUGGUGCCCCUGCAGGCCUCUGGGAGGGUGGGCCCCAGGGCCGGGCCCAGCAGGCAGGAGACGGCCAAGUCGGGCCCCACAGACUUGGUCCCGCACUCCUUGGCAUCCACCUCCUUAAGAAAGGGAGACACUACCCGCAGUUUUUUGCCGCCAUGGACCAAGCCCUCUUCCUCCAGGCUGCGCUUGUUGCCCAGGCCUGGGCUGCUUGGGAAGGUGGUCAGGGGCACGGGGCUCUCGGCAGGGACCUUGGCCAUGGGGGACACCCAGCAGGCUUUGGGUUUGGGGUACAGGCCCCUUCUGGAGCCGCCCUUGUGGAAUGCAGAGGGGUGGUCGGCAUCCCCACCCCACACCCGCUGGGGCUCUUUGGCUGGCAGCCCCUCUUCUUUGCCAGGAGGCCCCAAUAACACCCCAUCUUUAAGACUGGGGAAGAAGUCCCGAGGGUGCUGGCUGACAGGCUUCAGCACCUCGGUGGGGUAGGCGUGGAAGCAGCCAGUGAAGAUGGGGGCCGACGGGUGAGGGCCCACCUGAGCCUCCUCCUUGAGGCUGCCACCAGGGCCCUGUGUUCCCUCCGGAGGCGUCAGCCGGUGCCUGGAGUUCUCAGCCUGCCCUCCUGGGCUCCGGGGAUUCUCCAGGGGCCGAAUAGCUGGGGGUGCCUGGGGCUCCCCACCUGCCCCGUGGCGACAGCCCUCCUCCUGGCACUGCAAGGCCUCCGCCUUGCUCACCUGGGCCAGAAGCUUCUUUUUGGCCAGUGGUGACAUGAUACCAUGUGUCCCUUUGCAGUAGAAGCUGGACAGAAGCCGCCUGUAGGCCUCAGGGCAGCCGCUGGCACCCACGAAGGGCAGAGAGGGCCCAGGGGCUGGGCCUCGCUGUUCCAUGCCGUCCCUGGAGGGCUCCUGGCUAGGAAGCCUUGCCAGGUCAGGGGCAUCUGUUUUGGUCUUUCCUGGCAUCAUCUGGAAAGAGAGAAAAGGCCAGGCCUCAGGGCUGGGUGUGAGCCAUGCACCCUGACCUGGGCACUUGGUGACAGCAAGGUCCCAAGGGGGCACCCAGGAGCCUCUGCUAGCCCUUCCAGCACCUUUGUGCAAAAUUUUCAAAAGGUGUCCCAUCCUCUGAAUACACACAGCCUGGGGUCAGGACACAGGGACUGGUGAACGGGGUACAGACUGGAGUUCAGACCCUACCCACGCACCCACCAGUGCUGCCCUCAGAGGAAGUUCUGGGUGUCCUAGGCAGGGAGCCCUGCGGCCAAGGUGAGGACAGGUACGGGGCGCUGUGAGGGGCAGGGCACGAGGCGGCCAGAGCUCACCUGGUCCACCCGCUUCUCCUCCUUGGCUUUCUUUGGCCUCUCAGUGGCCCCGUCAUCCCCCCGAUGCUCCUUGGCCAUCUUGUACUGCUUCCUGGGCUUGGAGGGGGGCAGGGGCUUGUCAUCCUCUCCCUUCAGGUGCCGCACGUAUGGGAGGACCAACCUGAGGAGGAACCGGGCACGCUGACCAGGAGGCCAGGCUGGCAGCAGGCUCCCACCGCUCCAGGCCUACCCGGCCUCCUCCAGCCCCGGACCGCGAACACCUCUGCCCGGCAAGCACACAGACAACCCACGGGGGCCCGCGCUCUCCCUCAUCUCGUCCAGGAGGCCUGCAGGCCUGCAGUCUGCCCUCCCCGCUCAGGGCCCUGCUGGUCCAACCCUGGGGGUGAAGGCCCAGGUCCUGUGAGCCGCGGGCCUGGCCGUACCUCUCGUAGUGGCGGCGUGUGCACGUGGCCGCGCUGGUGCUGCCCGGGCUGCCCCCCAGCUCGUCAUACACGUUCUUCCAGAGGCGGCGGCCAGUCACCUGCAAGGAUGCCACGUGAAGGCAUGGCCGGCGGGCACUCCCUGGCCACGGGGUCCUCACAGCUUGGGGUCCCCACUUGGAUGCAGUUUUGCAGCUGCUUCUCCAGCAGUGGGGUGGCGAGGUUGGAGGGGGCUCCCCUGGCUGCCAGCCAGGUCUCCCGCCCAGGGGCCGCCCGAGUGCUGGCCCAAGCAGCUUUCCAAGCACGAGGACAGAACAGAUGGGAAAGAGAGGAAAUCUUGCUUUGAGCAGCAAAGUAGCAGCGGGCAAGGCGGGUCCCUCCUUCUCCCCGUAGCACACAGGGGAACUGGGGAAGGGCAGGGUUUGGGACGCUGCCUCGUCCUCCUGUCUAGUGGUAAGGGCAGCUCUGUUGGGCUCACUCUCUUCCCCCAGCUUGACGUGCCAGGAGAUGUAGCAGGGUGAGGCCUCAGAGGUGCUGUCCUUACCAGCUCAUAGGCCCCCAGCUUCUCCACGGCCUUGUAGAUCUUCCACAGGUUAACUGGAGAAAAGAGAGGGCAGGGCCACUCUCAGUCUUGGCAGGAGGAAGGGGUAGCCAGCAGCCUGUCCCCCUGGCCCUGUCAGGCAGGCACAGAACCAGCACGUACCCAGACAGGGCCACUGGGAUGGCUAGGCAGGCCACGCCCCGUGCACUGGGGGCCCAGUGGCCUGUGAGGGUGGAAAUCCAGCCCCACCCACUGCCAGCCCUGUGCCUGGAGGGGGGCACCCUUUCCGUGUGCAACCCCCGUGGGCUGGCGGCGUCCAGGGUUACCCAGAACGGAGGUGCUCCCCGAUGCCCUGCCUGGGUGGGGGUCCCCUGCCGGGCGCCCCCCCUCCCUGCCUGCACCCCAGGGACGCACUCUGCUUGAAGCCGAGAUGGGGCACCCUCUGGAUGGGCGUGUGUCGCUCCUUCAUGAACUUGUAGAGGCUGACCAGGAAGGCCUGCUCCUCCUCCCGCUCCCCGCCUGCCUCGGGGGAGUCCUGGGGAAAAAACAUGAGGCAGCAGCAUGAGCCCUCAGUUGCUGGGAGGCUGGGGACGGGUGGAACCUCAGGCUGCUGGGGAGGAAAGAGAUGUGUGGCCCCCAGGCUCCCACAGGAGGGAGCAGACCCCCAGACCCAGCUCUGGGCUGCAUUGCUUGUUCCUGGGGUCAAAAAGGCACAGGUGUCAGCUAUUAGUGCCCAGAACCCCAGGUCAGGGUCCACAGAGGCCCUGGGAGCAGCCCUGCACCUUCUCCAAGUUUCUGACCACUUCUUCCACUUGUCACAUCUGCAUCUCAGCUCCUCUACCACACUGUGAGUUCCUGGCGGUAGGCGCAGUGUCCCCAGGGCUCCCAGCAGCCUCCGUGGUCCAGGUUGAAGGAACAAAAGUGCCUGGUGCUCUCUAGCUCUGUGGCGCCGCGCCGCCAGGCCUGACUCUGUGACCCGCCCGUCCACGUGCUUAACUCAGGGAGGGGAGACCCUGUCCUGGGCUCCAACUGGCACUUCUGUCAGAUGCACAGGUCUUUUGGUUUCUGCUCUCGGGGAAUUUCUGCCGAUGCUGUUCACGUGGCUGGUAGCUCAGGGCAGGGGGCUACUGUUAGGCUGGGGCUGAGGUCCUGGCAGGGCAGGCCCCAAACACGAGAAGGACGAAAAACACCAGGGCCUAGAACCGUGCAGAGAGCCACGUGCUCCAAAAAUACUCUAUUCAAGUACCAUGUCCCUGAUUUUGACUAAUCAAAGACCUCUGGUAAUAAGCAAGCCACCUCAUAUGUUAAUGCACGGAAUUGGCACACACUGGAGCCCAAGGCAGCUGUUCUCUGGAGCCUCGGAAUGAAGGCGCUCUGACCACAGCUUCAAAUGAAUGUGCUCUUCUAUCCCUCUUCUCUGAACUCCAGGCAAUCUGUUAAAACCUGUUCCCACUUGCAGCUACUCUUCUACACGAAUCAGGAUUUCUACUCCAGCCUGUGCCACCAAAGCAAAUGGCUGAAAAGCACGACGCUGAGGAGUUGAGGCUGCCCACUCUGACCUCGCUGGUCAACACAGCUGCGCUGAUCUCACGAGCCCUCUGCCCACAACUUCGAAGGAAACCCUAAAUCACCUUGGGGUCAAGUGACAGGAGACCGGCACUGGGGCCGUGGUGCUCGGGGAAAUCAUGUCUCCAAAACCUGCCCCACCUUCAGGCAGAAAGUUUGGGAAAGCUGCAGAGGCUUCCAUGAUUGUGGACCCCCAAAGCACCACGGGGGGCUGCUUGGACCAUAAACCCUCCAGAAAUAAUCAAGAAGAGGUCAUCCUCUAGCCAUCCUCACACCAUCCAGAUGGGCCAUCCAGACUGAGAUGCCCACGGCUUGUCUGGCCUCCUGAGAACUUCGUGAGGCCGCCCAGCAACCCACAAAGUAGGUGGCAGAACUGUCCUGGUUCGCUCCAACUCAAGAUAUCCUUACUGCUGGGAACGUGCAAGAUUCCCCCUCCAACCCAGACAGAAAAAGAAUCUCCUUAAGAACAAGAAACCCGCGCCAGAGUGACCCACAAGGUGCCGGGUGAGUCCUCCUGCCUCCCAGAAACCCAGCUGCCGCUGAGUGACCGCUGCUGCCAUGAGCCACUGAGUUCCUGUCUUGCCCCGAGCUUAUGGGUGUAUAGAUCCCCUCUGAGCACAAAGCCUCAGAUGCCCUGUUGUAAUGGAGGUGGAUUCAGUUACAAAAAGAAAACCUCUGCUCUCCAAAGGCAUGCCCUUCAGACAUCGCCUUUUCCAUCCAGGAAGCAAUAAUGACAAUAAUGGGGACAAGGGUUCGAGCCCUGGUCCGGGAAGAUCCCACAUGCCGCAGAGCAACUAAGCCCGUGAGCCACGACUACUGAGCCCUAGUGCCACAACUACUGAAGCCCGCGCGCCUAGAGUCCGUUCUCAACAAGAGAAGCCACCGCCAUGAGAAGACCACGCACCGCAACGAAGAGUAGCCCCCAUUCGCUGCAACUAGAGAAAACCCGCGUGCAGAAAUGAAGACCCAACACAGCCAAAAAUAAAUAAAUUUAUAAGGAUAAAACUGAGGCUCUCGGGAAUUCCCUGGCGGUCCAGCGGUUAGGACUCCACGCUUCCAAUGCAGGGGGCAUAAGUUCCAUCCCUGGUCGGGGAACGAAGAUCCCACAAGUCUUGCGGCCAAAAAACAAACAAAAAACAGAAAAACUGAGGCUCUGGAGGAUUAAUCAGCUCAAGUAAAUCAGCUGAUCCCUCUUGGUCAGAAGACAGAUCUGUUUCUCCUGGCUGUUAGGCUGCGGGACUUGCGCGUCAGGUUAUGUGGGAUCUUAGUUACUGGACCGGGGAUUGAACCUGCGCCCCUAACCACUGGACCACCAGGGAAAGUCCCG